rnacentral:rRNA from 1 species
GUCUACAGCCAUGCUACCCUGAACAAGCCCGAUCCCGUCUGAUCUCAGAAGCUAACCAGGGUUGAGCCUGGUUAGUACUUGGAUGGAAGACCACCUAGGAAGACCGGGUGCUGUAGGCA